rnacentral:rRNA from 1 species
AUGGCGCCCUCACCUGCGCCGCGAGAUCUCCCCGUCGCCGGCACCGCUGCCCUGCCGCGCCUGAGUCUCCUUGUGCGCCUCCCUGCUUCGUCCGGCCGCCGCGCCGCCAAGCACCUCCACCGCGCCCCGCCCUCGACCUCGGAUUCUGCGCCCCAUGGCCACGAGCGCCACCAGCAGCAGUUCAGGCGUCCCCGUCGCCGAGCCCCUCGCCGCCCUUCUGCACCUCGUCUCCGGCCCUGCCCGUCGGAGCCCCGCCUCCCGGUGCCCGCAACUGAGUCGCGCCCGUCGACUAGCGAUGCUCCGGCCGCUUUCGCCGGAGUAUCACCAGGGAGCCGGGCCCCUAUGCGCCAGCGCCGCGACUCCCUCCUAUGCUCGCGAGCCUUGCUUCGCUACUCCACCUCCCUGGCCUCGCUGCCUCCGCAAGGCACCAGUAGCUCGUCCACUUCGCCGUUCAGAGCCGCUGCGCCUUCGGCCUAUCACAUGGUGAAGGAAACGAGCAGGAGCAAGCCCCAUCGAGCUCCUUCAAAAGUUGUCCGAGUCCUGGACAAAAACCGCCCAAGUCGUCGCCUCCUUGCACCAUGCAGUGUCACUGUGGACGCAUGCACCACUGGAUCGGAACCGCGAGCACCAAGUACCACUACAAACCCGAGGAAUUCGGAUGCAUCAAGUCCCCGAGAAGACCCGUUUUUCGUCAAGUUCGACUACCCCGCAAGACCCGGAGCGCCAAGUACCUCUACCGCCUUCUUCGGAAUCCUAAGAAUGCCAAGUACUUCGUCACCCGGCACCUAA